CAUUACAGAGUUCCUGCCCUCACGGGUAGAAACCCCACCCUUGUGUAUACUAUAUUGUUGCUUUGGCAGGCCGCCUCCCGGCGUCGGCUCGCGCUGACCGUGCCUGCCAGAGGACCCUAAACUCUGCAAUACAGUGUCGUCUGAGUACUAUUUAAUAGUUAAAACUUUCAACAACGGAUCUCUUGGUUCUGGCAUCGAUGAAGAACGCAGCGAAAUGCGAUAAGUAAUGUGAAUUGCAGAAUUCAGUGAAUCAUCGAAUCUUUGAACGCACAUUGCGCCCCUUGGUAUUCCGAGGGGCAUGCCUGUUCGAGCGUCAUUUAUACCAACUCCUAUUCAUAUAGGGUCUUGGGCUUCGCCUCUAGGCGGGUCUUAAAACCAGUGGCGGUGCCUUGAGGCUCUACGCGUAGUAAUACUCCUCGCGAUAGGGUCCUUAGGGUGUCUGGCCAGCAACCCCCAACUUAUUCAGGUUG
rnacentral:rRNA from 1 species